AUAUUACACAGCUACUCUAAGAUUUUCUGUAACGUAGGAACCCAAUUCAUCAGACAAAUCAGCAAGCCAGCUGGACGCGGUGGCUCAUGCCUGUAAUCCCAGCACUUUGAGAGGCCGAGGCAGGCGGAUCACUUGAAGUCACAAGUUCAAGACCAGCCUGGUCAACAUGGCAAAACCCUGUCUCUGCUAAAAAAUACAAAAGUUAGCAGGCGUGGUGGCAGACGCCUGUAAUCCCAGCUAUUUGGGAGGCUGAGGCAGGAGAAUUGCUUGAACCCCAUUGGCGGAGGUUGUAGUGAGCCGAGAUCAUGCCACUGCACUCCAGCCUGGGAGACAGAGUGAGAUUCCUCUCAAAAAACAAAAACAAAAACAAAAAAAAGCAGCAAGCCAAAAAAAAAGGAACAAGAAUGUAAGGAAAUAUACUGAUAUUUUUAAGCAGUCAUCUCGUCAUCUCUAGGUGGGGAAUCUGUGCCUGAAUUUCCCUUCAUCCACUGUUUUGCAGCCUCUGAAUUUUCUCUUGUAAUUAUGUAUUACUUUUAUAAUUUAAAAAAAUCAAUAAAUAUUAUUAAUUUUAAAUGAGUUUACCAAGUGUGAUGGUUAAUAGUGAGUGUCAACUUGAUUGGAUUGAAAGUAUUGAUCCUGGGUGUGUCUGUGAAGGUGUUGCUGAAAGAGACUAACAUUUGAGUCAGUGGGCUGGGGAAGGCUGAUCCACCCUUAAUCUGGUGGGCACCAUCUAAUCAGCUGCCAGUGAAUAUAAGGCAGGCAGAAAAACAUGAAAAGGAGAGACUGGUCUAACCUCCCAGCCUACAUCUUUCUCCUGUGCUAGAUGCUUCCUGCCCUAGAACAUCGGACUCCAAGCUCUUCAGUUUUGGAACUUGGACUGGCUUUCCUUGCUCCUCAGCUUACAGACAGCCUAUUGUGGGACCUUGUGAUUGUAAUCAGAAAAGAAAAGCAAAGCUCACUUAAAAAACAAAAAGGACAUUUCAACAAAUGUGAGAAGCCAACUGGAUCUCCACAGGUAAAAGAAUGAAGCGUGUCUCCUUCCCCAGCAUGCACAAAAUUUAAGUCAAAAUGGAACAUAGACCUAGUGCAAGAGCUAAAACUAUAUAAAUCUUAGAACAAAGUAUAGGAAUAAAUCUGUAUGACCUUGGGUUACAAAUACAUAGAAACAAUAAUUUAUUAGAUAAGACACCAAAAACACAAGUGACAAAAGAAAAAACAUAGGUAAAUUGAAUUUCAUUAAAAUUUAAAACCUCUGUGCUGAAAAAAUACCACCAAUAAAGUGAAAAGAAAAUCCACAGAAUGAGAGAAAAUAUUUUCAAAUCAUUUAUCUGGUAAGAGACGUGUAUCCAGAAUAUAUGAAGAACUCUUAGACCUCAACAAGAAAAAUAUAAAUAACCCAAUUUAAAAAUGGGCAAAGGAUUUGAAUAGACAUUUCUCCAAGAAGAUACACAAUGUCUCCUAAGCACAAGAAAAGAUGUUUCAUUAGCCAUUUAAAAAAUGCAAAUCAAAAUCACAAGAUGCCACUUUAGACCGAGUAGGAUAACUGCAAUAAAAAAACCCCAGACAAUAACAAGUGUUGACAAGGUUAUGAAGAAACUGGACUACUCAGACAUGGCUGGUGGGAAUCUAAAAUGGUGCAGCUGUUCUGGAAAACAGUCUUGAAGUUCUUUAAAAUGCAAAACAUAGAGUUACCAUAUGACUCAGUGAUUUUACUACUAGAUAUGUAUGUGCUCAAGAGAAACUGAAACAAAUGUGCAUACAAAAAAACUUGCAUAGAAUGUAACAGUGUUCAUAAUAUCCAAAAAGUAUAAACAACCCAAUUUUUCACCAACUGAGGAAUAGACAGAUUACAUGUGGUAUCUUACAAUGUAAUAUUGUUUGAUAAUAAAAAGGAAUGCGGUACUGACACAAUGACACAGCAGUGGAUGGACCUUGGACAUAUUAUACUAAAAGAAAGAAGACAGUCACACAAAACCAUAUUUAGCAUGAUU
rnacentral:lncRNA from 10 species